AGCAGUAGCCACGGUAAUACAGAGGAUGCAAGCGUUAUCCGGAAUGAUUGGGCGUAAAGCGUCUGUAGGUGGCUUUUCAAGUCCGCCGUCAAAUCCCAGGGCUCAACCCUGGACAGGCGGUGGAAACUACCAAGCUGGAGUACGGUAGGGGCAGAGGGACUUUCCGGUGGAGCGGUGAAAUGCGUUGAGAUCGGAAAGAACACCAACGGCGAAAGCACUCCGCUGGGCCGACACUGACGCUGAGAGACGAAAGCUAGGGGAGCAAAUGGGAUUAGAUACCCCGGUAGUCCCUGUCUCUUAUAC
rnacentral:rRNA from 1 species